rnacentral:rRNA from 1 species
UACGAAGGGGGCUAGCGUUGCUCGGAAUCACUGGGCGUAAAGGGUGCGUAGGCGGGUCUUUAAGUCAGGGGUGAAAUCCUGGAGCUCAACUCCAGAACUGCCUUUGAUACUGAAGAUCUUGAGUUCGGGAGAGGUGAGUGGAACUGCGAGUGUAGAGGUGAAAUUCGUAGAUAUCGAGAGGAACACCGGUGGCGAAGGCGGCGACCUGGGCAGAUACUGACGCUGAGGUGCGAAAGCGUGGGGAGCAAACAGG